GAUCCUGGCUCAGGACGAACGCUGGCGGCGUGCUUAACACAUGCAAGUCGAACGAAAAUCUGCUGAAGGAGGAUUCGUCCAACGGAAGCAGAGGAAAGUGGCGGACGGGUGAGUAACGCGUGAGGAACCUGCCUUGAAGAGGGGGACAACAGUUGGAAACGACUGCUAAUACCGCAUGACGCAUAGAGGUCGCAUGAUCUUUAUGCCAAAGAUUUAUCGCUUCAAGAUGGCCUCGCG
rnacentral:rRNA from 1 species